GUGGGGAAUAUUGGACAAUGGGCGCAAGCCUGAUCCAGCAAUGCCGCGUGCAGGAAGAAGGCCUUCGGGUUGUAAACUGCCUUUGUACGGAACGAAACGGUCCUGGCUAAUAUCCGGGGCUAAUGACGGUACCGUAAGAAUAAGCACCGGCUAACUACGUGCCAGCAGCCGCGGUAAUACGUAGGGUGCGAGCGUUAAUCGGAAUUACUGGGCGUAAAGCGUGCGCAGGCGGUGCUGUAAGACAGGCGUGAAAUCCCCGGGCUCAACCUGGGAAUUGCGCUUGUGACUGCAGUGCUGGAGUGCGGCAGAGGGGGAUGGAAUUCCGCGUGUAGCAGUGAAAUGCGUAGAUAUGCGGAGGAACACCGAUGGCGAAGGCAAUCCCCUGGGCCUGCACUGACGCUCAUGCACGAAAGCGUGGGGAGCAAACAGGAUUAGAUACCCUUGUAGUCC
rnacentral:rRNA from 1 species